CUCGCCCGCCGCUCACCUCCUGCUGUGCGGCCCGGGUCCUAACAGGCCACAUGGACAGGAGAUGCGAUUCCCAUGGAAAAGAUGCCUCUCUGUGCCAGAAAGGAAGUCACCUUCCCGCCAUCGAUGGGAGGCUGGCACCAAGGGAUUCGGAACCUCGUUAAAAUAACUCUACCUCCCCUUGGCAUCCCCAGGCCCAGCUGAAAACGCCAAGAGGCAGAGGGGAAAUCUUGUCUCCCUCGGCUGCCCGCGGCGCCUCCGUCUGGCUGCUUUCAGCCUGAGUAGUCGAUUUGAGCCCUAAGACCGGCCGUCCUUCUGUGUGAACCAUCCGAGUCCCUCCACGCCUGUGUCACUGUGCCUGGAAACAAGGCAGAGGCCCUGGCUAUGAUGGGACAGCACCAGGUCACACAGGCAGGGCCCCCGUGGCCGGGCACAGGCCGGAGAACCGGGAAGCUGAGCUGACGAGGAUGCUAAGAUCUGAGAACCGUGGAGCUGGGAGGAGGCUGGUCCAGUAUGCUCAUGUUGUUGAUGGAGAAACUGAGGCCCAGAGUGAAGAAAAGACUUACCCAGGGACACGUGGCCCUGGUGGCGACAGUGGCAUUGGAAUUCUGGUUUGCAGUUCUGUACUCUUUCUGUCACACCUUGCCCUUGGAAUGAAUAUUCUAGUAAACGUAGACUGCGAUUUAGACGUGUUCACUCUGAGCUCACAGAUGCUUAACUCUCUGUUGUAUUCUUGGUUAGAGGCUUAAAUGCAGUUCAAGGGGUUAAUUCCUGGAGUCAUGUGCCUUAAACCCAGAGCUGCCUAA